rnacentral:rRNA from 1 species
CGGAAUCACUGGGCGUAAAGCGUGCGUAGGCGGCGUGUUAAGUGUGAUGUUAAAUCGUGUGGCUCAACCAUAUCGAUGCAUCGCAUACUGGCAUGCUAGAGGAAGGCAGAGGCAAGUGGAAUUAGUAGUGUAGCAGUGAAAUGCGUAGAGAUUACUAGGAACACCAAUGGCGAAGGCAGCUUGCUGGGCCUUUUCUGACGCUGAGGUACGAAAGCGUGGGGAGCGAACAGG